rnacentral:rRNA from 1 species
CUAAACUGAGGAAAGUCGGCCGAAACUGAUCGACUCGAGGAACGUAGAGGGAAGCGGAACUCUCGGAGUAGCGGUGAAAUGCGUAGAGACCGAGAGGUACCCCGAUGGUGAAGACAGCUUCCUGGGCGUUUCCUGACGCUGAAGCACUAAGGCCAGGGGAGCGAAGGGGAUUAGAUACCCCCGUAGUCCUGGCUUCAAACGAUGUGGGCUUGGUGUCGGCCCCCGACAGAGGGUCGUUGCCGGAGCUAACGUGUUAAGCCCACCGCCUGGGGAUUACGUCCGCAAGGAUGAAACUCAAGGGAAUUGACGGGGGCCCACACAACCGGUGGAGCACGUGGUUUAAUUCGAUGAUAAGCGAAGAACCUUACCAGGGCUUGACCUAUCGGUAGUAGGAUCCUGAAAGGGAAACGACCUCAAGCUUUGCUUGAGGAGCC